UUAUAAGGUGGACCAUGUGGUGAUGGUGAUU
rnacentral:piRNA from 1 species